UAAAAACUCUUUAAAUUUCUUAAUCCUAUAAUAAUUAAAAUUCCUAAAUGAAAUUCUAAACUUCCCAUUCUGCAUUACAUUUAUUUGCAAAUUAUCUAAAAUUUGAUGUUGAAAUUUUAAUUCUAAAUCCCCAACCCUUUUCCUAGUUCCCCCUCUCCACGUGCUAAGUUUGAUGGUUCUUUAUGCUUUGCAUCUAAAUUACAGAGUAUUUUUUUUUCCCAUAGAUUGCAUUGGCUUUUGGGUAACGCUAGCCUGCCCUGGUUUUUUUUCUGAUUCAAUAUUUUUUCCCAUUUUUCGUUAUGAUGUUUUGUUCUCCCAGCCUAUGGAAAUUUA
rnacentral:misc_RNA from 1 species